UACAGAGGUCUCAAGCGUUGUUCGGAUUCAUUGGGCGUAAAGGGCGCGUAGGCUGCGGGGCAAGUCGGGUGUGAAAUCUCAGAGCUCAACUCUGAAACUGCACUCGAUACUGCUUUGCUUGAGGACUGGAGAGGAGAUUGGAAUUCACGGUGUAGCAGUGAAAUGCGUAGAUAUCGUGAGGAAGACCAGUGGCGAAGGCGGAUCUCUGGACAGUUACUGACGCUGAGGCACGAAGGCCAGGGGAGCAAACGGG
rnacentral:rRNA from 1 species